rnacentral:rRNA from 1 species
CCUACGGGAGGCAGCAGUGGGGAAUAUUGCACAAUGGGCGAAAGCCUGAUGCAGCGACGCCGCGUGAGGGAUGACGGCCUUCGGGUUGUAAACCUCUUUCAGCAGGGACCAAGCGUGAGUGAGUGUACCUGCAGAAGAAGCACCGGCUAACUACGUGCCAGCAGCCGCGGUAAU